UGCAGGAAAGUCUGUUAUGAUGUGGGGCCUAUGACUCCAAGGCGGUGAAAGUACCUUCUGUAG
rnacentral:tRNA from 1 species